rnacentral:rRNA from 1 species
AUUGAACGCUGGCGGCCGGCCUAACACCUGCAAGUCGAGCGAGCGGCGGACGGGUGAGUAAUGUCUGGGAAACUGCCUGAUGGAGGGGGAUAACUACUGGAAACGGUAGCUACUACCGCAUACCAUCAGAUGUGCCCAGGUGGGCUUAGCUGGUAGUUGGGGUAACGGCUCACCUAGGCGACGAUCCCUAGCUGGUCGGAGCGGAUGACCAGCCACACGGGAACGGAGACACGUUCCAGACGCCUACGGGAGGCAGCAGUGGGGAAUAUGGCACAAAGGGCGGAAGCCUGAUGCAGCCAUGCCGCGUGUGUGAAGAAGGCCGUAGGGUUGUAAAGCACUUGCAGCGGGGAGGCGUUACCCGCAGAAGAAGCACCGGCUAACUCCGUGCCAGCAGCCGCGGUAAGAC